GGAAAAUUUGGCUUGAAAUGACAUUUCUGAGUUAUUAUUUAUCCAAACUGUUGGAAUGCCGUUGGAUAAAGCUUGUUGAUGUAAGACGAACAACGACAGGCCACAAGCCCCCUGCUCCGCUCCAUUCUGAUGCCCUUGAAGAUGACUAGAUCAAUGUGCGUCUCUCUUAUCCUCGUCUGAGCUCAAAAGUGUACGGCUCCGAUAUUGUUUACAAUUUUCCAAUCAUGUUUGGUUGGGGUGAAGUGCUGUAAGCUAGCGGGAGAGCAUGUAAACAGAUGGAUGACGGGAAGGGGUGAGAGGCUCACUCAGCGCCAAAAGUCCCGCCAACAACUGAACUCUAGCUGCUCUGCAGAAACUAUGUCCUAGAAAACUACACAUGUUUUUGGAUUUUGGUGAAAAACUGCAUAAAUGAAAGUGAUCAGAAUGGGACUUUAGAGCCAACAAACGUGUUGGAUGAAGAGUCAGCUGUGCUCCCAGAUGAAGCUGUUUUGAUAUUUCCUCGUUUAAACUAAACAUUAAAGGAACCAAACCGCUAAAUGAUGGUUGGUUUGGUCUGAGCAUGAACUGGGAAGUGGAAAAAUCAAAGGCGAUCCAUGAUUGUUCUGUCUGGACAGUGUUUUAGAGCCAUUACUGCCACUAUGCUGUUCAUACAGGUGUGAAUAACAUCAGUCUGCAAAGCCAAGAUCUGUCUUCAUCCUCCAAGCCUUUGAAGGGGAGGCGUGCUUCUCCAUCCUCUGAGGGGGGGCUGUCCAUCAAACCAGGACGUCUAUGGAAACCAAAUGCAGAAUCUCUCCAUCAUCAGGACCCCCUCCCCUCAUGAUGCUGACACGAUGAGAGCACAAACCCUCACUGCAAAAAGAAUUAACACCGCAGGUGUUUUUAUAUCUCAGGUGAGCAAAUGAAACCAGAUGGUUCCCACGACGUUUGCGCAAACGGGCUUAUUCCACGCGCCGUGAAUUAGGCCGCGCGCGCUGACCUCGUGCGGAUUACAGAGGAGCCCGUAUGUGGAAGAUAAGCGGCCUGGCAGAGACGCUGGCUCUGGUGACUAGACGAAGAGGGAAAAAAAGGGCUUGGCAUUUACGCACAGGCGCAGAACUGUCCCUGCUUCACGGCUGAUCCAUCAUAACGUCAUUUUAUGGCCCAACUGUAUGUGAAUACGAAUCCACGCUGAUUAUUUGUGUUUUUCCCCCUGUUUUUGCACAUUAUUUCCAUGAUUGCUAUAAAAAUGAGGCGCAUGCCAUGAUUCACGAGGCACGCAGCCAUGAAAACAGAGAUGAACCAAAGAAACGAAAGAUCCAGAAUAAACCAGAGGGAGAGAGGAAAAGGAACGACGGGGACUCAGGAGAACCUCCACCCUGACGGACUGCACAGUCCAAAGCAGACAAAGAGAAGCAGGUUUUGGGGAGCGCGCAAAGGACAAGAUGAAGAUCUGUGCGUCUGGAAGAGGAGGACCAGCUCCGGAGAAUGAUGGAGACGUUCGUCCUCAUGGCAUGAUGAUGGAGGGGGAGGAAACGUGCAUUUCUUUCUUUAUUUUUUUUAAACAGGGAGGCGACCACUCCUCUCGAGCACGGAGGAAUGAUGGCCGCAACAGAAACGCGGUUUUUUUUUGUUUUGUUUUUUUGGAGAGGAAGAUGAGGAGCUGAGGGGAGCAAGAGCGGGGUGGUUAAAGGUUUGGGGAGAUGAGGAGAUGCAGCUGCGGGUCCAUCUUCGUGUUUCUGAGCGCACAACAGGCCCAGCCUAUCCCCCCCGAAAAGAACAAGUGACAAGCAAGCAGGCAAACGCUGAUGGAGGAGUGGAGGCUGCUCGAAGCUCCUUCUCCCCCGCGCCUCCUGCGGGAUCGCGCCCGCAUGGGGUUCGGGUAAAACACGCAAAGACCUCGACGCGGCUUUCUUACCUGGGUGCAGACUGCGGGCUUGUCUCUUCAGCUGCGGUCGCUCACCGGGCGCACACGGCUUCUCCUCGCAGGGGCGGCGGCAGGCCGGUGGGGGGCGCUGCGGAGCGCGCAGGAGAGCAGAGGGGAGCGACAGUCCUGAAAUGCAUCCUGUCUGUCCGCUAACAGCAGCCAUCUGCUGACAUGUAAACGAAAGCUGCUGUGAUGAGACAAAAUAAACGCGUCAAGCAAAGAAUAAAUGAGUUCUUUUACCUCCAACACCAAAGUCCUCCACGAUCCCACCUCUCCAAUGGUUGAGCUGAAAUGACAAAAACAAGCAAACCCCAAACAUGAAGCAAUAACGACAUUUAAAAUCUGUUCAUUUUUAGUAUUUUUGUUGCCCUCAGCUCAAAUAAGCUCCUUAUGAGACUGUAUGUUUGGCAGUUUUCGUCAGGUUGUCUUGCUUCUCUUUGUGUAAAGGAGACUCUUUAAUGCCCUACUCCUCUGAAAAUUCUGUUUUUGGUGUUUUGGAGGACAAAUAAUAGAACAAAUUAAGAUUAAAAUUGCAUGUUUGGUUA